rnacentral:rRNA from 1 species
CCUACGGUGUGCAGCAGUGAGGAAUAUUGGUCAAUGGACGAGAGUCUGAACCAGCCAAGUAGCGUGAAGGAUGACUGCCCUAUGGGUUGUAAACUUCUUUUAUACGGGAGUAAAAUGUUCCACGUGUGGGAUUUUGUAUGUACCAUAUGAAUAAGGAUCGGCUAACUCCGUGCCAGCAGCCGCGGUAAUACGGAGGAUCCGAGCGUUAUCCGGAUUUAUUGGGUUUAAAGGGAGCGUAGGGGGAUUGUUAAGUCAGUGGUGAAAGUUUGCGGCUCAACCUUAAAAUUGCAGUUGAAACUGGCAGUCUAGAGUGCAGUAGAGGUGGGCGGAAUUCGUGGUGUAGCGGUGAAAUGCUUAGAUAUCACGAAGAACUCCGAUUGCGAAGGCAGCUCACUGGACUGCAACUGACACUGAGGCGCGAAAGUGUGGGGAUCAAACAGGAUUAGAUACCCUAGUAGUC